GCACACACCGCCCGUCAAGCCAUGGAAGCCGGGUGUACCUAAAGUCGGUAACCGUAAGGAGCCGCCUAGGGUAAAACGUAGGUGACUGGGGCU
rnacentral:rRNA from 1 species